UCUUCAUUUGCAGAGCACCCAUGCUGUUCACAGUCUGGCUGGUGGAGUUCUCCCAUCAUUUGAAGUCCAACUUCACCUGCAAGAAAUGCAAUAUUUUCUUUUUGUACUUAACAUUUGUCGGGCGAAAUAUCUCUGAUUGCUUGGACUUCUUGUUUUGGCUUGGAGCAACAUCAACGGAAUCUUUCCUUUUCCUGGGCGAGAGCACAAUUGCAGCCAGGUACACACACUGCUUCGGCAUUACAGAAAUCCUCAGGAGGUUAAUUUAGCCGCUUGGUGUGUAAAAAUCACCACAAUGAUCAUCAGGCUUGGCAGACUGACUCCUGGAUACUUCCGUCUCCUGCAGAGGCAGGUAGCGGGUGAGGUGGCAGCCCCAACACACGACCGCUCGGUCAACCAAAUCGCCAUGAUGCUGGCCAUCAUGGGCCUUGGCAUGUCCUACUACAGUGCCAAGCAGAUGACGGAGAAGGUGCACCAAGAGCCUGCCCCAUGAAGAUGCUCCUGAGCUCUGGUUUGUUGGUAUCCAGAGAAGACAAAGCCAAAUUGGAGUUGAAGAUGGAAUUGGAGUUCCGAAGAUUAUCAUGUGCAAUCUCUGUCACACUUCACCCUUUCUAUAACUGUAACACUGGGAUUCCAGGGAUCACCUACCAUGGGAAGCGAGUUUGGUGCUUCUGUUUAGGGUUAUCUUGCUUUAGUGUGGCACUCAGUGGGGUCUGGAGAUGGUUGAAUGAUUCUUUGUUAGGGUUUAUUGGCUUCUACAGGUGUGGCCUGAGUCUCGGUAGUUGCCAUGGUACAUGCACCAGAGUCGGUCAAUUCUGCUGUAGAUUCACAGGGAAAAACACGGUCUCCACCAGUGCAUAAGAAGAUGCACAACUUGUUGGAGUAUUACAAUGAGCCAUAAUUUUAAAGGGAAGGACCUCUGCGUUUGAGAUGUACCAUGCAACUAUUGAAAGCAGGCCCACUGCACAGUGUAGGAUGGCGAGACACUGGUUAUAUUUGAGAUUUACCCCGUGAAGAUGUCAUGCUAUUGAAGAAACUUCACAGAACCCUGGUGACUCUUAGUCCUACAAUACUACACUUGUUGAUUUAUCUUUGUGUUAGACACUUUGGAAAUGCUGUCAAGACAUUGCAAUACUAUGCAGAGGAACUAAUGUUAAAGGGUCAGGUUGUUGUCAUUAUAACUUGAGAAUUUCUUUGUAUCAUCAUGUUUGAUUGUCCUGACAAAUGCCGAUAACCCAGCAAUACCCAUUAGACGUUCAUGCCUACUUUCUAUGUGUGCAAUUGCAUGAGUUUGAAGUUAAACCAAUCCAUAACAUUGUGUUUAAUACUUUUUAUGAUAAUGUGAAAUUGAUGAAUGUAUGUUGUAUUUAUAAGAAACUAUGAUCAAAUAAAGCUGUGAAUAUUUUGAACAAGAUCAGCGUUAUGGACCGUAAGUCUACAGAACUACAAAAGGUUAAAGAUCAUUUAGAAGAAUGUUAUGUUAUGUCAUGAAAUCUGUUAGAUUUGAAAACCUCUCUCUCGGAAAUUGCUGAUAAAAUGUCACUCCUGGGUUAUUGACUGACAUCUGAGGUCUGCACUGAAACCGUAUGAAAGGCUUUCCUGUCCACAGAAGGGUGCUGUCGAGCAGGAAGUGGGCAUAGCCUCAGGCAACAAUUUCCUCUGUCAGCACGAUAUUUGUCUACCAGCUGCUUGUUGCGCCUGUCUUAAUGCCUGAACUAUUGAACAAUCUGAAUAUACCCGCAAAAAUGAAAACUUUGCAUACUGUUUAAUUUCUGGUGUGUUUUCCCCUCUGAAAAGCUCGAAACAUACUUAAGCAUACACAUGUGACCGCUGAUUUUUCUAGCUACACGAGCUUGACACAUUGUUGCUUUGUAAAAUUUGUCUGAGUGCAAUUCAUAUUGCAAAGCCAGGUCGUGUUGCAUUGCCACAAGGUGUCAAGUUUGCACUGGCUUAAAUGCAGUUGCUUCUAGCUACACAAGCUCGAUUGAGCACAUCGGUGCAUGCCGAAAUGUGUCAAAUUAACAUUCGUAAUGCAAUGGAAAUACUUUUACCAUCUCAGUGUUGUUGUAAGGAUUACUACUGCUUCUAAAGCCAGUUUUCUCUUUCUAGUCAACUACUAUCACGGCAGAGCAAUAGUUUAUAAAGGAAUCUUCCUGAGCGAGUCGGAUCUUAUAAGCGUGUUUAUAGCUAGCUAAAUGAAUAAUAAAAUCUAUCGCUCCCUUGACAAAUUAUGUUGCUAUUCUCAACUCUAAAUGCAAGUAAACUGCAAGGAUAUUCAAGCGUUUGUGUAUUUGUGUAGAUUUUCUGGCCCUACGUUACGGUUUUAUCUACUUGUUUCCGGCUCUAUAUAUGUUUCGCAUGUUAUCAAUGUAACGUUGCAUUUUAUCAGAGAGUAGACGUGCUAGUAGCAUGUUGAACAGUUGAUCAACGGAUGAGUCUGCACUAUCUAUAUUGUUUCUUUCCAACUGUAACACCCUUUUUUCCCAUUACCGUGCAAGUUAAGAGGCAGAUGCAGUUGAUGUGCUAAUGCUGUUAGGGUGGGGAAGCGGAUGUGCUCUUAAUCUUUGCAUGAAUGCUCGGGGCAGAUGUGAUGCCCUGUGACAGGCCAAGACCACAUUGCGUGACACGUGCUAUUCCGCAUAUCACCUACAGCUCCCCCCUCUCCGCUUUGCGCUAUGAUCACUGGGCAGAUUUGCCAAAAAAAAAAAAAAUACUGCUGGGGCAGUUUUGACAUGCAAGCUUAGGACAUGAACCCAAACACUGUCACUCCAUUGGCUGUCUGGUGAUGCAUCAUGAUGUUGUUCCAGAUUCGAGCCACAGAAACAAAGAGAUUGGGAUCACGUUGGCGUGGCGUAAUGCACAUGGUUGCUUUAUAAAAGAUCCUUUUUAUAAAGAAGGGAUGGAACUAAUUGGACUUAAUAUAAGUCAACAGUGGCCUUUUCUGUUUGACAGCAUUUUGAUGAUGGUCUAUGGAUGUAAAAUUAGAGGCAUCCUCAAUUUUAUUAAAGUUUUUUUUUAUAUAAUGAACACAACACAUUGAGAUAUGUAAACAUUAUAAAACUGAAGUUGUCUAUAUUAGUGUAUCCUAUUAUGUAAGAAAGCUUCAUAUACUGUAUGAAGGACUUCUGAUAUUUGACUGAAAUGUGAUUUGUACCUACAGAAGUUUCCCUGAUGCACUCUGUGGGUCUGUAACAUUCAUGUAGCAACUUCAUUGUUUUGUCAUUCAUGUAAUACUGCUACUUAUGCAUUAUUAAACUCAUUUCAAUCAUAUGUCUCAGUUGUCUUGUUUUCUUUACCUCACUGUGUGCCAUAUACUAAAUCUGAACUGGUAGGUUGCAACCCAAAAAUGGGUCCCAGGUCUGUUCUGAUAGGA